UUUGUGCAUUUUUCUUUCCCAAAUUAGGUUGUCAUUGUGUUAUUCAUGUUUUUUUUGUAGUUUUAGAAAUCAUGCUUUGGGGGAUAGGUACUUCUCAAAUACAACUUUUUUAGGAAUGUUUAAGUUGUCCUUAACAAUUAUGUGCAUCAAUAGUUUAUAUAAUGGUAGUUCAUUAAUUUCACGUGUUAAAGGACUGCUUGUUUGGUUACUGGUUAUGUAAAUUCCCAAUCUUGGUAACAAUUAUUUGAGUCAUUCGAGUAGCUUAGUAAGUUAUAUUCAUUGGAAAUGACUAUUUUUAGAAGUCUAACUAUUAUAUAGUUUCAAUUUUGGUAUGGUACAUGCAAUAGUUUAUAUAAUGAUCCUUGGCUUGCUCGUCAUGGUUUUCUUGUUAGUUUGCUCAUCAAAACUUUAAUCUUUAGCGGUUGAUUUAAUCCUUUCUAGGAGACCUUUUUGUUGGAGAAUAUAUGGAAAUUAUGUAAUGCAGUUUUAUGUUUGCAUGGAUUUAGAUUCUUAGAUUCUUUCAUAGAAUAUUGAUCUCUUUGUUUGGGUUUUACUACUGCAACCAAGUCUCUCUCUGCUUCAAGGUAUAUCUCUUUUCAUUCUUCUUCACUCACAAUAGUAUAUAUAUAUUGGGAGUGAAUGGGCCAAUUGAUAUUUGCUGACUAAAAUUUCAUCAACCCUUAAAUAUUCCCUUAAAUUUUCAGCUUUAGGUAAUGCAGUUACCCUCAAGAAGCUCAUCAGGAAGGGGAUUCCACCGGUUUUACGGCCUAAGGAAGGUUUGUCACCCUUAAACUUUUAUAUUGAGGAUGAAUUCCAUUGUGCCACUGGUGGUGGAGCUGGAGGUGCCAAAUCCAUUACCAAUUUUGCCCCAGUAUAAACAUUAUUUUUCCAUUUGACUGUAAAACAGUUGAUUAAUUUCUCCGACAUCUGAAAAUUUCCUUGAAAUUUUUCCCUCAUAAGCUUGUCUUAACAAAUAAACCGUCAUACAUUGUGUGAUAGAACACAAGUAAUGCUUAUGUUGGAGCUAGCGAUUUCAUAUUAUCAUAAUGUUGAAUGAACAAAAAAAAAAUGCCACAAGAUUAUGGCAUUCUAUUUUGUUGGCAAUUUCCCUGCCCAUUGACACACGUUUUAAAAGGUUAGUCUGAGGUAGUCUAGUUUGUAACUCCCAUUAAUCUGGCUGAUUUUUGUUUGUGCAAUUGAUAAUUUUGGAUCAAAUGAAACGUUUGUAGGGUAAGUAGGAUAAGACAGUUAAGGGAAUGUGAAUUUUACGAAUGUGAGUGUUAAAAUGAGGGGAAAAUGAAACAUUGGUUCUUUUUACUUGCUUUUUUACAUACUAACACUUUUUUAGAGUAAAUUAUGUUAAUUAAUUUGUUUUUCCAUUGAGGUUCUUGGACAGAUGGAGGCACAUGAUUAUUGAUAGAGUGAGGUUGUGGCCUGUGAGGUUGAUUUCUGCUAUAAAUAUAUUUUUUUCAGUUAUAUAGUUAUUGGGUGUAUUGAAGUGUAAUGCUUUGUUGUAUCAUUGUGUUUAUUUGCCAUAUAAAUUUCUUUUGCUCUGUUUCAUUCUCAAUUGUUUGUUCUUUUGUUUUUCUUUGUUUUUCUUUUCCUCGUUUGAAAUUUAGAUAAUUGUUUACUGAAGCCUUCUUCUAAUCAUUGUAUCACAGGAAUGUUAUUGGGGCUUUUGGAUUCGAAAACAGUUUGUUACUCAUUAAGUGGAGUUCUUACCAGCUGCAGAAAAAGUAGCUCAUUUCAAAUGAGUCUUUGAUUUGGGUUAUUUUUCCCUUUGAUUCAAGCAGACCCACUCGAUGCUAAUUUUUCUUCUUCCACAUUUUUCUUAUACAAGACAAAUCUGGUUUUUUGUUUUGGUAAUAAUGAAUGGUUUAUAUCUGAGUAUUGGAUGUUUCUUUUAUACAGUUGAAAUAAUUGGUUUGCAUUAUCGGCUAUGGUGA